GACGGAAGGUGCAAGCGUUGCUCGGAAUCACUGGGCGUAAAGGGUGCGUAGGCGGCCGCGCAAGUCUGUCGUGAAAGCCCCGGGCUCAGCCCGGGAAGGGCGCUCGAAACGGCGCGGCUCGAGUGCCGGAGGGGAGAGUGGAAUUCCUGGUGUAGCGGUGAAAUGCGUAGAUAUCAGGAGGAAUACCGGCGGCGAAAGCGACUCUCUGGACGGCAACUGACGCUGAGACACGAAAGCGUGGGGAGCAAACAGG
rnacentral:rRNA from 1 species